rnacentral:rRNA from 1 species
GAUGGACGCUAGCGGCAGGCCUAACACAUGCAAGUCGAGGGGUAGCAGGAUUAAGCUUGCUUAAUUGCUGGCGACCGGCGCACGGGUGCGUAACGCGUAUGCAACCUACCUUAUACUGGGGUAUAGCCCGGAGAAAUUCGGAUUAAUCCCCCAUAGUACUAAUGAAUCGCAUGGUUUAUUAGUUAAAGCAUUGCGGUAUAAGAUGGGCAUGCGUCCUAUUAGCUAGAUGGUGAGGUAACGGCUCACCAUGGCUACGAUAGGUAGGGGGCCUGAGAGGGUGGUCCCCCACACUGGUACUGAGACACGGACCAGACUCCUACGGGAGGCAGCAGUGAGGAAUAUUGGUCAAUGGGCGCAAGCCUGAACCAGCCAUGCCGCGUGCAGGAGGAAUGCCCUAUGGGUUGUAAACUGCUUUUAUUUGGGAAUAAACCUCUUUACGUGUAGAGAGCUGAAGGUACCAAAUGAAUAAGCACCGGCUAACUCCGUGCCAGCCGCCGCAGUAA